rnacentral:tRNA from 1 species
UGCUGACUAGCGUUAAUAUGUAAACCACCUAAUUUCGACUUAGAAAAUCUCGGCGCCACUCCGAGGCCAGCAC